rnacentral:rRNA from 1 species
AGCGAAUAGAUACCCGGGUAGUCCACGCCCUAAACGAUGUCGACUGGUUGUUGGGGGUUUGACACUCUCAGUAAACGAAAGCUAAACGCGUGAAGUCGACCGCCUGGGGAGUACGGCCGCAAGGUUAAAACUCAAAGGAAUUGACGGGGACCCGCACAAGCGGUGGAUUAUGUGGAUUAAUUCGAUGCAACGCGAAAAACCUUACCUACCCUUGACAUGUCCGAGAGCCCGCUGAGAGGCGGGUGUGCCCGAAAGGGAAUCGGAACACAGGUGCUGCAUGGCUGUCGUCAGCUCGUGUCGUGAGAUGUUGGGUUAAGUCCCGC